rnacentral:rRNA from 1 species
AAUGAACGCUGGCGGCGUGCCUUACACAUGCAAGUCGAGCGAGGCGGUUUGGGGGUAACUCCGGACCAGUCGAGCGGCGAACGGGUGAGUAACGCGUGGGUGACCUACCUCAAGGGUGGGGGAUAACCCGGGGAAACUCGGGCUAAUACCGCAUAACAUCUAUGGAUCAAAGGGGGCCNCAAGGCUCCCGCCAUGAGAGGGGCCCGCGUACGAUUAGCUAGUUGGUAGGGUAAUGGCCUACCAAGGCGACGAUCGUUAGCCGGCCUGAGAGGGUGAUCGGCCACACUGGAACUGAGACACGGUCCAGACUCCUACGGGAGGCAGCAGUGGGGAAUUUUGCGCAAUGGGCGAAAGCCUGACGCAGCAACGCCGCGUGGAGAUGAA